GAUGAACGCUAGCGGCAGGCCUAAUACAUGCAAGUCGGACGGGAUUGGGGGAGCUUGCUCCCCAUGAGAGUGGCGCACGGGUGCGUAACACGUAUGUAACCUACCUUUUCCAGGGGGAUAGCCUCUCGAAAGAGAGAUUAAGACCGCAUAACAUCACACUAUGGCAUCAUAAAGUGAUCAAAUAUUUAUAGGGAAAGAUGGGCAUGCGGAACAUUAGCUAGUUGGAGAGGUAACGGCUCACCAAGGCUACGAUGUUUAGGGG
rnacentral:rRNA from 1 species